rnacentral:rRNA from 1 species
AGGAUGAACGCUGGCGGCGUGCCUAACACAUGCAAGUCGAACGUCCUGUCUCGCAAGAGGCAGGGAGUGGCGGACGGGUGAGUACCACGUGGGUCAUCUACCGUGAGGUGAGGAAUACCGGCGAGAAAUCGCCGACAAGACCGCAUAGGCUCGAUGCAAGUCGAGCAAAGCUCUUUCGAGAGAGGGAGCGCCACACGAGGAGCCUGCGCCCGAUUAGCUAGCUGGUGGAGUAAUGGUUCACCAGGGCGACGAUCGGUAGCUGGUCUGAGAGGACGAUCAGCCACACUGGGAUUGAGAACGGCCCAGACUCCUACGGGGGGCAGCAGUGAGGAAUUUUCGCAAUGGGGGCAACCCUGAACGAGCAACGCCGCGUGCAGGAGAAGGUUUUCGGAUCGUAAACUGCUUUUCUCGGGGAAGAGAACGGACGGUACCCGAGGAAUCAGCCCCGGCUAACUACGCGCCAGCAGCCGCGGU